AUGGAGUUAGUGGUGAAGCUUAGCAGUAGCAUAUCUGCUGAGAUGCAAGAUCCUCUGUCUCUGUAUGCAGUUCUCUCCUAUAGUAUCAUACCUCCUGUGACUUCGAACUAUUCCAUGCAUCUGGAAGAUUGUACCACUUCACAUUUAUGUCAUCAAACUUUGAACCCACCUAUACAAUAACCCAUUGGUUAUCAUCCAGUCCUUUCUCAAUUAAAGAAUAUACCAACUAUAAACUAAGCUUCAGUCCUAGCCUUUUUAGGAAUAAUUAAUAAGCAACAACUAAGAAAGGUGCAAUAAUUUUAAAAAGCAUUCUGUAGAAG
rnacentral:lncRNA from 1 species